UCUGUAGUCGAAUUUAGUAGAGUUUUGAAGGACGUUUACAUGUUUAUAAAGAUUAUUAAUCAAGAAUCCUACAUCAUCAUGAGAUCAAAGUGCCUCGGGAUACGCAUCAGUGGUAACUUGCUUGUGGAAGAGGCGGGAGCGAGGCUUGAGUCCAGAGGGAUAGGAGGCCAAGGAGGUGGACGCGGUGACGGAGAAAGGCCGAACCCGAUGGAAGCUUGGUGGCGAGGGCUCCUCCUUCUUCAGCAUGCAGGAAUUGAUCACCACUAGCACAAACACCAUCACGAAGUCGGCGAGGAUGCAAAAGAUGAACCAAACGUCGAUGAGUUUCAUGUAAGCAGUCUUGGGCAGUCCCGAGGCUAUCUGGCGGUGAGACAGAGACCAGCAGUCUGAAACUUUAUUACCUCGAUUCCCACUAACAGGCUUUAGUCAAAGAUCCUACGAUUUUCAAGGUUGUUUUCAUAUUUCUAUCGCUAGUUUAACAAGUAUGUUGCAUUAGUAACAGAUAAAUGCGUAUUAAAACCCGAUUAAAUAUC